rnacentral:rRNA from 1 species
GCAUGCAGGCGGCCUGUUAAGUCAGAUGUGAAAGACCCGGGGCGUUAACCUCGGAAUUGCAUUUGAAACUAGGCAGGCUAGAGUCUUGUAGAGGGGGGUAGGAAUUUCAGGUGUAGCGGUGAAAAUGCGUAGAGAUCUGAAGGAAUACCAGUGGCGAAGGCGGCCCCCUGGACAAAGACUGACGCUCAGAUGCGAAAGCCGUGGGGACGCAAACAGGAUUAGACUACCCCUGGUAG